UGCUUAUUAUUUUUGCUGCAUGUAAGAAGGGGCAGAGUUACAAUGCAGCCUACUUUCCCCCCUCAUUUGAAAUUCCGUGGUUUCUAUGGAAACAGUGAGUUCUGUUGUUGUAGUUGUAACUUGGGGGAUGGUAGUGCUCCAGCAUUUCAUAAGAAGCAGCAGCACAAGUACUCUGUGACCAGUUAGAAAAGUUGAUUUGAUCCAUGAUGCUUCUAUUUGUAAAUGUAUUCUGUACCAAUCUCAGAAGUCAUCCACUGACUUGAUAUUUAGCACCAAGAUACACAUUUUCUGAAAAUGUUUUUUUCUCUACUUGGGAUUCCUGAAAACUUCAAAUAUGUAUUUGCACUAUAUACACAGACAUUCAGAUAUCUGUGAAAGCUGGAGGCUAAUAUUAAAAGUAGUAUGGUGGUAAAUCAGUACUAAAUGGAUAGCUAUGACUGAAUGCAGGCAAAUAACAUCGAUUUACUCAUUAUGCUUGGGUAUGUGUAUGAUUGCUGUGCAACCUGUUGUGUGGGGCUCCAUACUGCUGCUUUCCACUUCUGACUAUUCAAAGCAUGGAAGGAUGCUAUUGAGAAUCCUGCAUUAGGAAUUUUCUUCAGUAACUGAAUGUUGUCGUGCUGUGUUGCCUGGUGGUAAAGAUGGUCCAAGUGGCUGCAGACCUGGCUGGAUCCCUGACCUUGCAGCUGUUCUGGUGGCUGUAUCGAGAUGGUUUCCUCCUGUUCAUAUAAAGGGGGAAUCACAGACAUCAUGAUACCUAAAUUGGGAUUCAGAUCUGGUCAAAAGGAUUCACAUGGAGGUAAAUGACUGCCUGUCUUCUAUGAAUGCAUGUAAGGUAGAUGUCUGCCAGUGCAAGCCUGUUUUAAUUCCUCUCAGAGUCAAGGAGAGCUGAUCAGCUCAGAUCCCACAGUGAGCCAGUCAAUUGCAAACUAAAUGAACAGCCAGGACUGCCUCCCUUGUAUGGAGACAGCUACGCUGAGAUGUCCUGAUCUUGAGCUAAGUCUUACUUCAGCUACUUAAGAAUAGGGUCUAGGGUCUUUAGAAACCCUGGAUUAGGACAUAAAGCCUCCACCUGCUGCUUCAGAAGGUGGGGAUCCUCCCACAGACCUGUGUUGUGCCCUCUUGCUCUUUGUAGGCUAUUUUAAAUACUCCAGGAAUAUUUUAAAUGGUGCUGGAUCCUGAACAGGAAUGAGGAGGCCCUGCUCUUUUCCCAAACUGGAA